AAAAUUGGCAUCAUGCCUGGCCAUAUUCACAAAAAAGGAAGGAUUGGCAUUGUGUCCAGAUCUGGCACCCUGACUUAUGAAGCAGUUCACCAAACAACGCAAGUUGGAUUGGGGCAGUCUUUGUGCGUUGGUGAGGGACUUUUGCUAAAAUCGUUUUAUUGGAGUGUGGUGUCUUCAUUGGAUGAGUAUAAUAAUAAUUAUUGAUUUUAUUAUUUGCAAAAGAUUUUGAUACUCUUAUGAAAAGGAUGUUACGAUCUCAAAUUUAAUUUGCUUAA
rnacentral:sRNA from 1 species